GAGAGUCACCUCCCUCCUGGGGAGAGAUGCCGUGUUGGAGUGCUCCGCCUCGGGGUUCCCCACCCCCGCCUUCUACUGGAUGAGAGGAGCCGAGAGGAUACAGAGCAGGUCUAAGAAGUACUUCCUGCUGGGCGGCAGUAACCUCCUGAUCAGCAGCCUAACGGACGACGACUCAGGCUCCUACCGCUGCGUGGCGUUUAACAAGAACCAGAACAUCACCGCUUCCUGCGAGCUGUCCGUCCUCGUGCCACCCCAGUUCCUGAACUACCCCAGCAACACGUAUUCCUGAGAGUACGGACAUGGAGCUGGAGUGUGCUGUAACAGGGAACCCUCCUCCCACGGUGCGUUGGAUGAAGAACGGAGAGGAGGUCAUCCCCAGUGACUACUUCCAGAUCGUUGAUGGCAGUAACCUCCAGAUCCUUGGUCUGGUGAAGUCAGAUGAAGGUUUCUAUCAGUGUGUGGCUGAGAACGAAGCAGGGAACGCCCAGGCUAUGGCCCAGCUCAUACUGAGAG